rnacentral:rRNA from 1 species
CCUACGGGGGGCAGCAGUGGGGAAUAUUGCACAAUGGGGGGAACCCUGAUGCAGCGACGCCGCGUGAAGGAAGAAGUAUUUCGGUAUGCAAACUUCUAUCAGCAGGGAAGAAAAUGACGGUACCUGACUAAGAAGCCCCGGCUAACUACGUGCCAGCAGCCGCGGUAAUACGUAGGGGGCAAGCGUUAUCCGGAUUUACUGGGUGUAAAGGGAGCGUAGACGGCGGUGCAAGCCAGAUGUGAAAGCCCGGGGCUCAACCCCGGGACUGCAUUUGGAACUGUGCUGCUAGAGUGUCGGAGAGGCAG